GUUGUAAAGUCCUUUUUUGGGGGACGAUAAUGACGGUACCCCAAUAAUAAGUCCCGGCUAACUACGUGCCACCAGCCGUGGUAAAACGUACGGGGCGAGCGUCAUCCGGAUUUACUGGGCGUAAAGCGCACGUAGGCGGCGCCGUAAGUUGGACGUGAAAGCUCUCGGCUUAACUGGGAGAGGUCGUUCAAUACUGCGGUGCUUGAGGUUGGAAGAGGAGAGUGGAAUUCCCGGUGUAGUGGUGGAAUGCGUAGAUAUCGGGAGGAACACCAGUGGCGAAGGCGGCUCUCUGGUCCACAUCUGACGCUGAGGUGCGAAAGCGUGGGGAGCGAGCGGGAUUAGAUACCCCGGUAGUCCACGCCGUAAACGAUGGAUUACUAGGUGUAGGAGAUCAUGUACCCGUUCUGUGCAGUAGAUAACGCGUUAAGUAUCGCGCAUGGGGAGUACGAUCGCAAGGUUAUAACUCAAAGGAAUUGACGGGGGCCAGCACAAGCAGCGGAGCGUGUGGUUUAAUUCGAUGAUACGCGAAGAACAUUACCUGGGUUUGACAUGUUGGUAGUAGUGAAGCGAAAGCGGAACGACCCUUCGGGGAGCCAUCACAGGUGCUGCAUGGCUGUCGUCAGCUCGUGUCGUGAGAUGUUGGGUUAAUGUCCCGCAACGAGCGCAACCCUCGUCGUUAGUUACAAGUGUCUAACGAGACUGCCGGUAUCAAACCGGAGAAAGGUGGGGAUGACGUCAAGUCAGCAUGGUCUUUAUAUCCAG
rnacentral:rRNA from 1 species